rnacentral:tRNA from 1 species
UCCUCGAUAGCUCAGUUGGUAGAGCAAUCGGCUGUUAACCGAUUGGUCGUAGGUUCGAGUCCUACUCGGGGAGCCA